CGACGAUAGGAGGUUCUUCGGUUUGGGAGAGAUGGGAGAAAGAGAGAUUGUUGGGGGAGAGAUGAGAGAGAGGGGUAUUUUAGUCUCAAAGGCUUUUUUUAUGGCUAAUGUUGAUAGAAAUUUGUUUGGGGGGUUAAGAUGAAAAAAGCCAAAAUUUUUAUGGCUAUUGGUGUAAAUUUCCCCAAGAAAAUGUAGCUGCAGAAACACAUAAAAAUAAUAUGUGAAAAUGUAGCUGCAGAAACACAUAAAAAUAAUAUGUCACAGAAGGCAUCGACUCGCACCAUGCUAAAUAGAUAGCAAUUGUCCAAUCCUUGUUAACAAAUAUAAACAAAAUUCAAACAUCUAAUAAGAAGCUUGCGGGGCUGCAAAACAAAACUCGAAAUCCA
rnacentral:lncRNA from 1 species